GGAAGCUAAUUCCUUUCCACCAUUUCUCCUUCCUCAGUCAUGCUUCCUAGAAUAUGGAUGUGAUGACCAGGACUCCAGCUGCCAUCUUGAGUCAUGAGGUGACUUUGAGGAUGGAAGCCACAGUGUGAAGGAGCAAGUUCCUGCUUGAAUGAGUCUGAGACUAGAAUUUAGACCUUCAAAUAUGGGACCUCAGCUGUGAUGUUGCUCAGUCUGGAAUCCAGGUUUUCUGAUGCCUAUUGGUGAAGAAAAUGCAUCCCACUGACUGCCCCAGUGCUUUGAAUUUGACCCGUAGCCUUGAAUUGCCUCUAUUUCAUGAGGUUUCUGCUCCUGAGAGUUUUCCCCAACAAACCUCUUGGGGAGUCUUCCAAGUCAACUGAUCAAAGAUACAGUCGAG
rnacentral:lncRNA from 1 species